UUCUGAAUGAAGUUGACAUCAUCUAGUAGAUGACUGGAAGAGUGCCUCUGAUGAAUGUCCUUCCACCCUGUUCCUCGUCUUCUCCACUCUCUCUGCUUCCUGGCAGUCAUGAGCGUGGUGGCUGGAUCCAAAAGGAAGCAUUUCAAGAGGCAAAGUUGAGCAUGUUCUCCUUCUCUGAAGUUAUAAAGAAUCAGUUAUGAUACAUUUUUUUCAUUGAGUCAGAUAAAAAAAGAAAAACCUA